rnacentral:rRNA from 1 species
CCUACGGGAGGCAGCAGUGGGGAAUAUUGGACAUUGGGGGCAACCCUGAUCCAGCAAUGCCGCGUGAGUGAUGAAGGCCUUCGGGUUGUAAAGCUCUUUCGCACGCGACGAUGAUGACGGUAGCGUGAGAAGAAGCCCCGGCUAACUUCGUGCCAGCAGCCGCGGUAAU